rnacentral:rRNA from 1 species
UACGAAGGGGGCUAGCGUUGCUCGGAAUCACUGGGCGUAAAGCGCACGUAGGCGGGUCCUUAAGUCGGGGGUGAAAUCCCGGAGCUCAACUCCGGAACUGCCUUCGAUACUGGGGACCUCGAGUCCGGGAGAGGUGAGUGGAACUGCGAGUGUAGAGGUGAAAUUCGUAGAUAUUAGGAAGAACACCGGUGGCGAAGGCGGCCCACUGGAUCGGUACUGACGCUGAGGCGCGACAGCGUGGGGAGCAAACAGG